rnacentral:snRNA from 1 species
AUACUUGCCCGGCAGGGGAGACACCAUGAUCAGGCAGGUGGUUUUCCCAGGGUGAGGCUCAUCGGAGUUUGAUGACCCCUGCGAUUUCCCCAGAUGUGGGAAACUCGACUGCAUAAAUUGUUGUAGUGGAGGACUGUGUUAUUUUAAAAUCUGA